rnacentral:misc_RNA from 1 species
GUGCCCAAGUAGAUAGCAUAGCCUCUUGUGGAUCUUCUGUCGUGUGGAUCAUUGCCCCAGUCACUAUCAGCAUAACACUGGAGAUGCAUCGAUGGUGUGUUGGACAAAAACAAACCUUCGGACUUAGUAGCUGCUAAAUACCAAAGUAAUCUUUUAACAACUUUCCAAUGGUCCUUGGAAUGAGCGUGCAUGAAUUGACACAGCUUGUUGACCAUAAAUGCUAUGUCUGGCCAAGUGAGAGUCAAAUAUUAUAAGCUUCCAACCACCUGUCUGUACAGAACUAGAUCAUGAAAU